CACGAACAUAAACACAGCAAUACUCAAGAGCUGAUCUGAUAACCAAUGUGGCAGCUAAGUGACUAGCAGGUACAGAGAUGCUGACACAUAGACAUGAGAUCCGGGGUCAAAUUUUGGAGCCUGACAUCUUCAAGAAGAAAAAUGGAAACACUGCUAAGUGUUCACACUUUCCCUGUGAAAGCACAGAAACAACACUCCCAAGCCCAGGUGAAGAGAAAGAGAAAACCACCAUAGGAAGUUUACUCAAAAUCCAGGAGAAAAAUAUCAAGAGAUUAUCUCAAGUUUUUCAUCUGAUUCCUACUACGUCAAGUGUAACAAGAACAUUUUAUAGAAACUCCUCAAAAGCAUGUAAUGUGACCCGUAGCAGAACAAUGAAAACAUCAUAAACCAAGAGAAACUCUCCUCCAUGGUAUGUUCUUAAUUUUUUCAGGUCUUAAAUAAACUUCGUGGCUGAAAGUCUAAUUUCCUCACCUCAAACAGAAACAUUUCCAUGUCCAUGCCCACUCAGCUAAAAGCCCAUGACCCCAAAGUCUCAAUUUCUCUAUUUGCAUACUAGCUUCAGGGGCAUCCUAGUCUCACAUGACUGUUCCUCCACUUUUAGGAGUAGGUUGGAGAAGGGUCUGGCCCUCAUUCAUGGCCCUGAUGUCACAAUCCAUUCAGUGUCUCUGAGAACAGCCUCCCACAGAGCUGAUUUCUCAGGACUGGUUAAGCCUAAGAGCUGUGCAAGAACAGAGCUGCCAGUCAAGAGACGCCUUCUGGAAACAUGGCUUGUUUGCUCACAGAUAUCCCGAGACUUUCAGGCAAACCCUCAGCAAAGCUCCCAC
rnacentral:lncRNA from 1 species